AUUCAGGCAGCAGCAGUUGGCAGCCUGAGGCAGCAGAGGGAAGCUGCGGCAGGGCUGAUGCCUGAGUGCACAGGUGACACCUUCCGGGGCCUCCCUGCAAUACCUGGCAGGAGGAAGAGACCUUGAAACAUCUGCUGAAAAAAUCAGAAGAUUCAGCAAUACUGAGCCCACCACCCCAAAUGAAAAAAAUUCUCCUGGCUCCAGGAUGAAGUAACUGCUUCAUCAGAAGCCCUUCAGAAGAACACACAGGUGAUCUAAUGUCCAGCCAACAUCAAAGACCUUUGCAAUGGACCGCACAGGGCAGACAAUCCCCUCUUGUGAUUGUACUUCUGCGACUCUGCCAGGCUUUUGGCCUCACUUGGAUGCUGUGUGGCAGGAGCUAAGAGUCAGGCCUGACAAAGUACAGCUACGCUCUCCGUAUCUCUAACACACUGUCAAGAAUGAAGUGGAGAGGAUUUUACUUUGAAAUCUGGCCUUGGAAUAUUUCCUGAUCGUCUGACAAACCCAAGGACUUCCAACUAGAAUUUCAAACUUGGGCACACAUCAGAGCUCCCAAUCGAGCAUUUGGCGCAGUGGGAUCCAGGUGAACAAGCUAUGAUCCUGUUCCAACCCUUCUCAGAUAAUUUUCAUAAGAAAAGGAGUUGGAGGGGAUUCAUAUGGCUUCAAAAAGCAGUCAGGGAAAGUUGCAAAGAGACCCUGACACAAGUUCUGAGGAAUGAGUCCUUACAACAUGCUGUAGGAAACUCAGCCUCCUCCUCUCUCUUCCUGCAAGGUCUCUUUAAUUUGAAAUGAUGCAGAACCCAACACAGAAGUGGAGCUCUCUGCAAAUUCACUCCUCUCACCCC
rnacentral:lncRNA from 1 species